UUCUGACACCUGACACAUAAAUAAUAAUCAAAUAAAGGAAGGCACUAAACCCCACAGUGGAGAAGAUGAUACCAGUGACUUUUACUACACGUUGUUUCACAUAUUAAUGGAAGGAAGGUAGAAAGAAUGGGCAUAAGGGAUGAACUGCUCUCUAAAAUUGAAAAUUACAUUAUUGUUCAACACUUAAAAACACAAUAUUUAAAGCAGUUUUCCUGACAAGCGACCGUCUAGUCAUGCAAAUUAUUGUCCUGAACAGAUUCAACCAAUAGGGGGAGACACAGCACAUGGCAUGAAGCUUUUAUGAGGAGAAUGUGGUGAUGAAUUCACAGACACAGACACCCUCCCUCCGUACCCCGAGCCUAUUUUCUCAGAACAAAACAUACAAAACCCUCACCGUCCUGUGAAUGAGACAUUUGCAGUUGAGGCUCUCUCCUGAUACAUCGUUGGAGGAGGCUGUGUCCCUCCUGCAACAGCACAAACUUGAAAAUGUCUCCAGCUGUGAUAGCAUUUCUGCUCAUCUUGCUUCCAUAUCGAGCAAAGAGUGUGACAUUUCAGCCGUCUCUUCCCAGAAUAGUCAAGGACAAGGCCAGAGUAGAAAUUACAUGCAGUCAUAAUGAUAACAACCUCUAUGUAAUGCUCUGGUACCAGCAAAAAGAGAGAGGUUUGAUGAGCUUGAUUGGAUUCAGCUAUUUUGGCAGUGAGCCUAACUAUGAGAAACAGUUUAAAGCUCGGUUUGAGAUUACAAGAAAAGACAUCCAAACAGGAUCUCUGAUUAUUCAGAGUGUGAAUCUAUCAGACACGGCUGUGUAUUACUGCGCUGCCAGUACACAGUGAUGCGGUUUAAUGCCACUCCCUCACUAAAAACCCUCACCAUCCUGUGAAUGAGACAUUUACAGAUGAGGCAGUGUCUCUCUUUACACUGACUCUCACUGGUGGAAGCUGUGUUUCUCCUGCAGCAGAGCAAACCUGGAGGAUGUCUCCAGUUGUGAUCGGAUUUCUGCUCUUCUUGUUGCCAUAUCGAGGCCGAGCUAAGAGUGUGACGUUUCAGCAGUCUCCUCCAAAAAUAGUCAACGAAAAGACCAGAGUGGACUUUAAAUGCAGUCAUGAUGACAAUAAUCUUGAUGUAAUGCUCUGGUACCAGCAAACAGAGAGUGGUCUGAUGAAUUUAAUUGGAUACAGCUACAUUAACAAUGAACCCACAUAUGAGAAAGAGUUUAAAGAUCGGUUUGAGAUUACAAGAAAAGACAUCCAAACAGGAGCUCUGAUUAUUCAGAGUGUGAAUCUAUCAGACAUGGCUGUGUAUUACUGCGCUGGCAGUACACAGUGAUGUGGUUUAAUGCCACUCCCUCACUAAAAACCCUCACCUUCCUGUGAAUGAGACAUUUGCAGAUGAGGCAGUGUCUCUCUUUACACUGACUCUCACUGGUGGAAGCUGUGUUUCUCCUGCAGCAGAGCAAACCUGGAGGAUGUCUCCAGUUGUGAUCGGAUUUCUUCUCCUCUUGUUGCCAUGUAAUGAAAUUACCUACAAACAACAAUUUAACUGUGUUCUCAAUAUUAUACAGGAAAAAAUGAAUGGCUGUUUUUUUUCCACAGUUGCAUCUGUAUCAACCACUUUACUAAAUCUGUGCUUUCCCAACAGAUCGAGGCCGAGCUAAGAGUGUGACGUUUCAGCAGUCUCCUCCAAAAAUAGUCAACGAAAAGACCAGAGUGGACUUUAAAUGCAGUCACAAUGACAGCGACCUUAAUGUAAUGCUCUGGUACCAGCAAACAGAGAGUGGUCUGAUGAAUUUAAUUGGAUACAGCUACAUUAACAGUGAGCCCGACUAUGAGAAACAGUUUAAAGAUCAGUUUGAGAUUACAAGAAAAGACAUCCAAACAGGAGGUCUGAUUAUUCAGAGUGUGAAUCUGUCAGACUCAGCUGUGUAUUACUGCGCUGGCAGUACACAGUGAUGUGGCUUAAUAUCAGCCCUCACUAAAAACCCUGUUCCCUUCUUACUCUGCUGUUUUCAAGUUCAAGAGAGGCAGGAUAGUGGAAUUUGUCUCAGUAUAUUUACUGGCCAAGUAUGUUGACACAUACAAGAAAGUAAGGUUGUCACAAUACCAGAAUUUUAUACAAUAUUAGCAUUAAAAAACAACACUCGAUACCUCUUUUGAUACCAUGGAAAAGAGAAAUAGG
rnacentral:lncRNA from 15 species